AGGGGGGUGCCUAAAUAUUUCGGGCUGAGAUCAUACCCAUAUACCUGAUCCAGAUAAUGCUGGCGUAGGAAUGUGAUAGA
rnacentral:ncRNA from 1 species